GGAGAUGGAGGAUAGAAUAAUCGAGUUGGAAGCAAUGCAGAAGGUUUUGCUGGAGGGAACAGAAGCAUAUGACAAAAUGGAAACUGACCUUGUGUUAGCGACACAAAGGCUUAAGAAAAUACUUCAGUCGGUGGAUAAGAAGACAACGUUGCUAGAGAUGGCUGAAAGAAAUGAACUCACCAGAUCUGUACUAACCCUUCUUGAUGAAAAUAUAACAAGCGCAAUAAACACUAAUCAGAAGGAAGCAGCAGCUUUCAUGGAAAGUGUCCGUGCGACGAUGUUAAAAUAUAUCACGGUAUAGGUCAACAACAAAAAAUGUAUUCCGCCUGUUGAGCAACGGAUUUUCUUGUGAGUUCAGCUUGAUACUCUUAAUUUCUUUUGGGUUUAGUAUA
rnacentral:misc_RNA from 1 species